CCUACGGGAGUCAGCAGUGAGGCAUAUUGGUCAAUGGUCGGGAGACUGAACCAGCCAAGCCGCGUGAGGGAUGAAGGUACAGAGUAUCGUACACCUCUUUUGUCAGGGAACAACGGCGGGGACGUUUCCCCGGAUGAGUGUAACUGACGACAAAGCAUCGGCUAACUCCGUGCCAGCCGCCGCGGUCCUACGGAUGAUGCGAGUGUUAUCCGGAUUUCUUGGGUUUAAAGUGUGCGCAGGCGGUCUGUUAAGUCAGUGUUGAAAGCCCGGGGCUAAACCCCGGCCCGCCGUGGAAACUGGCAGUCUCGAGUUGGAGAGAAGUAUGCGGAAUGCGCGGUGUAGCGGUGAAAUGCAUAGAUAUCGCGCAGAACUCCGAUUGCGAAGGCAGCAUGCCGGCUCCACACUGACGCUGAGGCACGAAAGCGUGGGUAUCGAACAGGAUUAGAUACCCUUGUAGUC
rnacentral:rRNA from 1 species